ensembl:miRNA
UAUAUUAGGUUGGUGCAAAAGUAAUUGUGGUUUUGGCCUUAAAAAGUAAUGGUGAAAACUGCAAUUACUUUUGCACCAACUUAAUAAA